rnacentral:sRNA from 1 species
CAUGCCCCUUAUACGCUGGGCUACACACGUGCUACAAUGGGUAGAACAGAGAGUCGCAAAGCUGUGAAGUGGAGCUAAUCUCAGAAAACUAUUCUUAGUUCGGAUUGUACUCUGCAACUCGAGUACAUGAAGUUGGAAUCGCUAGUAAUCGCGAAUCAGCAAUGUCGCGGUGAAUACGUUCUCGGGUCUUGUACACACCGCCCGUCACACCACGAGAGUUGGUUGCACCUGAAGUAGCAGGCCUAACCGUAAGGAGGGAUGCUCCGAGGGUGUGAUUAGCGAUUGGGGUGAAGUCGUAACAAGGUAUCCGUACGGGAACGUGCGGAUGGAUCACCUCCUUUCUAAGGAGUAUAAGUCUUUCUCUAUUCUAUUGGUAAUGUUCUUACAUUACUUCCGAACAUUGGAAACUAUAUAGUAGAACAAACAAGAAAAAAAUUAACUCUAACAAUUUCUUAGAGUUAGCUGUCAAAAAAUAGGUUAAAAUAAUUAAGGGCACACAAAGGAUGCCUAGGUAGUAAGAGCCGAUGAAGGACGUGGUAAGCUGCGAUAAGCCUAG